ensembl:lncRNA LINC00523 long intergenic non-protein coding RNA 523
GGCCUGGUGGGGCCUCUUCCGGUGUACACAGCAGGAAGCUGUGCUCUUCCUGAUGGACGUCAGCUCCUAUCUCUCCUGGGGAGUGGAGGCUGCUCUGGAGUGGGGCCAAGAUCGGGAGGCCCAGGAGAGAAAAGGGCCUGCAAUCUACCUCCCAGUCAACAAGAUGCUAUAAUAAAAACAUAGCCAACUGUCACUCAGCGUUUAUUACGGUGCCAGAUGAGGAAACAGGUGCAGAACCGUGGAGUAACCUGCGCAGGGUCUCCAGUAGAAAAACAGGCCCUUGGUCAGAUGAAUUUACCCACUUCGGCCACCAGGGGCGCUGUUGGCACAGCUUGAACUCGAGACCAGCGCUGUCCAACGGAAACCGAACGGAUCAAGAGGUCUGCUGUGUGACCUUCUUCAAGUUCCUGACCCUCUCUGGGCUGCAGUCACCUUAUUCAGAAAAUGGAGAGGCUAGACAAGAAAAUGAUGCUAAUCUCACCCUUUUCUGGGCUGGCAUUUUAUUGAGCACCUACUAGGCGCUGGGCAUUUUGCUAGGCCCUUCGUGCACACUGCCAUGAGAAAUCCACAGCAACCCCAGAGAUGGGUUCAUCAAUAACUCACCAGCAAAUACUUCCUGAGGCCCCACUGUGUGCCGAGCAUGGGCAUAGGUACUGGGCACACCUCGAUGAACAAGGGAGGUAAGGAUGUGACUCUCCUAGAACUUUCUGUCGAGAAGAGGAGAUGGAGAAUAAACAUGGAAACAAGCAAGAUCAUUCUGGAGAAAAUGCAAUCAGAUGAUGUGCUAGAUGGUAACAGAGAGAGGUCGAAUGAGAGAGAGGGCCGUGACAGCCUCUCUGAGAAGCUGAAAUCCAAGCAGAACCUGAAAGACGAGGAGAAACUCAGAUACAUAAAGACUGGGAAAAGCAUUCAAGUAGAGGGAACAGUGCGUGCAAAGGCCCUGAGGUGGGUGCAGUAGAUACCACAGGCCCCCUCACUCGAGACCACUCCAAGCACCUCCUGCCCUCUUGUGCCACAGAGCUCAGAAAGCUAAAGCAAUGUUCCCCAGAGGUCCUGUGGCCAAGGUCCUGCAUGGGCCUGGGUGACCCCUGCAGAAGCUUCUGAGCAAGACUGAGCAGGGAAAGAAAGGCCAUGUCAGAAAACCAUCCUCCAGCGAGCAUGGAGGCAGAGAGUCUCAUCCUGGCAUCCCAGGUGCUGAGCAGAGCAGACAGCAGCAGAGGGGCUCCCUAGAGCAGCUGGGGGCCCUGCCUGUGCCGUCGCUCUUUCCCCUCCCUGCCCUCUGGUCUGACAUCCCAUUGGCAUCACACACGAUGCCUCCCGGAGGUGCUCUUGUGCACACAGCAGGUCAAAGUGCCAGAGAAUUAGAUCCUGUCCUCUUGGGAACAGCCCUCAGCCAGCAGUGAGCCCUUAGGAGGAUGCUCCAAGCUCUAUCCUCCCCGGGUCCAGAGGCCCUGGGAUGGAGCGCCAUUGUGGAAGCAGUGACAACUUGAUGAAGCUCCCUGGGCUGGCCCCUUCCUCUCUGCCUUGUUCCCCGUUCCCUGCAGUCCUGCAAUCACCUCCCAAAUAAACCAUGUGCCCUUGCUGGAAUA